AUUGAACGCUGGCGGCAUGCCUUACACAUGCAAGUCGAACGGCAGCACGGGAGCAAUCCUGGUGGCGAGUGGCGAACGGGUGAGUAAUAUAUCGGAACGUGCCCAGUCGUGGGGGAUAACGUAGCGAAAGCUACGCUAAUACCGCAUACGAUCUAUGGAUGAAAGCGGGGGAUCGCAAGACCUCGCGCGAUUGGAGCGGCCGAUAUCAGAUUAGGUAGUUGGUGAGGUAAAGGCUCACCAAGCCGACGAUCUGUAGCUGGUCUGAGAGGACGGCCAGCCACACUGGGACUGAGACACGGCGCAGACUCCUACGGGAGGCAGCAGUGGGGAAUUUUGGACAAUGGGCGCAAGCCUGAUCCAGCAAUGCCGCGUGCAGGAUGAAGGCCUUCGGGUUGUAAACUGCUUUUGUACGGAACGAAACGGCGAGCUCUAAUACAGCUUGCUAAUGACGGUACCGUAAGAAUAAGCACCGGCUAACUACGUGCCAGCCGCCGCAGUAA
rnacentral:rRNA from 1 species